UCAGGAUUCAUGGGUGGCCUGUGAAGGAGGUCGUCCUGUGGCCUCAACACCUCAGCAUCUCAAGGGAGAAGGGAAGGGGCACCAGCCACGUCCCUCCGGAGCGCCUCACGCCCCCACCCCGGGGCGACUGGGGACCCCCGGGGACCCCGCUGCUAACCGCCCGGCCUGCGCGCCCCGCAAGGAGCCCUUCUACCUCGAGGCCAGGCGCGUCCCCCCGUCCGCGGGCUCCCCACCGCCUCUCCUCAGGGCGGCCAGCAGCGAAGCCCUGUGUUGGUCCAAAACCUCGAAGAACGAGGCCUCAGGCCCCACCGGCGCAAAGGCCAUGGGGGUCAACAGCGACAGGAAGCGCCAAGCGCAGGAACCCCACCAGCGCCUGCGACGGCCCUCCCUGGUGCUUGCUGCGCAUGCUCCCUGGCGGCGCGUGCCCUUGGUUGGCUUUCUGGCUGGGGCUGCGCAUGCGCACUGCCCGGGCAGGCGUAUAACGACUCUCGCAUGCGCAUAAUGACUCUCACCGAGUUGAAUUCGCAGGCGAGCAGGGCUCGUUCGGGUGCGGUCCCACCUCGGGAGGCAAAGUGAUGGGCCCGGAUAACUAGGUCCCAUGCCAUCUUUGGGACAUACUCUUACUAGAAGUUUUCCGACAUUCAGUAUUUCAUCUAGCAAUCCUCACAUUGGACCACACCCUUGCCUGGCAGAUUGGAGAUUGGAAUGAGCUUGUAAGAGAACCCUCAGCUCCAGGAGAGAGUGCAGCUGGCCAACACCUUCCCUGCAGCCUGAGCGAAGGACCAGCCACGCUGUGCCACACUUCCAAGCCACACAACCGUGAGCUCGUAAAAAGGCCCUCCCCACAUGGUGGCUGAGAUGACCACCAGCAGUUGGGAGCCGAAGCCUGUCAUUUUAACAAUCCAGUCAGAGACCCCACCUUUCCCCAUGGCUCCCCUAAGAGUCCUGGGAUGACCCGGAAAGGAGCAGCUUGGGUCACGUGACCGAUGACCGCAGAACCAAUCACAAAGGGCGGGGGAAGGGGCACCGCAGAGGGGAGGCCUCAGCCCCAUACCUGUU